GGAGCGUUCUGUAAGCCUGCGAAGGUGUGCUGUGAGGCAUGCUGGAGGUAUCAGAAGUGCGAAUGCUGACAUAAGUAACGAUAAAGCGGGUGAAAAGCCCGCUCGCCGGAAGACCAAGGGUUCCUGUCCAACGUUAAUCGGGGCAGGGUGAGUCGACCCCUAAGGCGAGGCCGAAAGGCGUAGUCGAUGGGAAACAGGUUAAUAUUCCUGUACUUGGUGUUACUGCGAAGGGGGGACGGAGAAGGCUAUGUUGGCCGGGCGACGGUUGUCCCGGUUUAAGCGUGUAGGCUGGUUUUCCAGGCAAAUCCGGAAAAUCAAGGCUGAGGCGUGAUGACGAGGCACUACGGUGCUGAAGCAACAAAUGCCCUGCUUCCAGGAAAAGCCUCUAAGCAUCAGGUAACAUCAAAUCGUACCCCAAACCGACACAGGUGGUCAGGUAGAGAAUACCAAGGCGCUUGAGAGAACUCGGGUGAAGGAACUAGGCAAAAUGGUGCCGUAACUUCGGGAGAAGGCACGCUGAUAUGUAGGUGAAGUCCCUUGCGGAUGGAGCUGAAAUCAGUCGAAGAUACCAGCUGGCUGCAACUGUUUAUUAAAAACACAGCACUGUGCAAACACGAAAGUGGACGUAUACGGUGUGACGCCUGCCCGGUGCCGGAAGGUUAAUUGAUGGGGUCAGCGCAAGCGAAGCUCUUGAUCGAAGCCCCGGUAAACGGCGGCCGUAACUAUAACGGUCCUAAGGUAGCGAAAUUCCUUGUCGGGUAAGUUCCGACCUGCACGAAUGGCGUAAUGAUGGCCAGGCUGUCUCCACCCGAGACUCAGUGAAAUUGAACUCGCUGUGAAGAUGCAGUGUACCCGCGGCAAGACGGAAAGACCCCGUGAACCUUUACUAUAGCUUGACACUGAACAUUGAGCCUUGAUGUGUAGGAUAGGUGGGAGGCUUUGAAGUGUGGACGCCAGUCUGCAUGGAGCCGGCCUUGAAAUACCACCCUUUAAUGUUUGAUGUUCUAACGUGGACCCGUGAUCCGGGUUGCGGACAGUGUCUGGUGGGUAGUUUGACUGGGGCGGUCUCCUCCUAAAGAGUAACGGAGGAGCACGAAGGUUGGCUAAUCCUGGUCGGACAUCAGGAGGUUAGUGCAAUGGCAUAAGCCAGCUUGACUGCGAGCGUGACGGCGCGAGCAGGUGCGAAAGCAGGUCAUAGUGAUCCGGUGGUUCUGAAUGGAAGGGCCAUCGCUCAACGGAUAAAAGGUACUCCGGGGAUAACAGGCUGAUACCGCCCAAGAGUUCAUAUCGACGGCGGUGUUUGGCACCUCGAUGUCGGCUCAUCACAUCCUGGGGCUGAAGUAGGUCCCAAGGGUAUGGCUGUUCGCCAUUUAAAGUGGUACGCGAGCUGGGUUUAGAACGUCGUGAGACAGUUCGGUCCCUAUCUGCCGUGGGCGCUGGAGAACUGAGGGGGGCUGCUCCUAGUACGAGAGGACCGGAGUGGACGCAUCACUGGUGUUCGGGUUGUCAUGCCAAUGGCACUGCCCGGUAGCUAAAUGCGGAAGAGAUAAGUGCUGAAAGCAUCUAAGCACGAAACUUGCCCCGAGAUGA
rnacentral:rRNA from 1 species